UACGUCAGCGGCAGACGGGUGAGUAACGCGUGGGAACAUACCUCUUGGUUCGGAACAACACAGGGAAACUUGUGCUAAUACCGGAUAAGCCCUUACGGGGAAAGAUUUAUCGCCGAGAGAUUGGCCCGCGUCUGAUUAGCUAGUUGGUAGGGUAAUGGCCUACCAAGGCGACGAUCAGUAGCUGGUCUGAGAGGAUGAUCAGCCACAUUGGGACUGAGACACGGCCCAAACUCCUACGGGAGGCAGCAGUGGGGAAUAUUGGACAAUGGGGGCAACCCUGAUCCAGCCAUGCCGCGUGAGUGAUGAAGGCCCUAGGGUUGUAAAGCUCUUUUGUGCGGGAAGAUAAUGACGGUACCGCAAGAAUAAGCCCCGGCUAACUUCGUGCCAGCAGCCGCGGUAAUACGAAGGGGGCUAGCGUUGCUCGGAAUCACUGGGCGUAAAGGGUGCGUAGGCGGGUUUUUAAGUCAGGGGUGAAAUCCUGGAGCUCAACUCCAGAACUGCCUUUGAUACUGAAGAUCUUGAGUCCGGGAGAGGUGAGUGGAACUGCGAGUGUANAGGUGAAAUUCGUAGAUAUUCGCAAGAACACCAGUGGCGAAGGCGGCUCACUGGCCCGGUACUGACGCUGAGGCACGAAAGCGUGGGGAGCAAACAGGAUUAGAUACCCUG
rnacentral:rRNA from 1 species